rfam:Capsicum annuum cultivar Zunla-1 chromosome 4, whole genome shotgun sequence
ACCUCAUGAUUGGGACAUUGAGUAACCUUCCCAUUGAAUCUUUCCCAAACCUUGUACAAGGGUUCACUAUUCAGUUGCCUAAAGUUAGUGAUUUUAUCACAUAAUUAU